rnacentral:lncRNA from 1 species
UCUUCUUCUUCUUCUUCUUCUCUUUCACGUUGCUUCCCAACCUCCAUGAAAACUUGAUAAGAAAGCUCCACACCCUUCUUUAAAUAGCUUCAAAUUUCAAGCUUUUGGUGCACCCUUUCCAUAAACCCUUGUGCUCUUCCAUUCUCUCACUUUAAAACCCUUGAAAAAAAUCUUGUUUCCAUACUCUCUUUCACUAGUUAGGUGUUUUAGAAAGAGAAAGAGGAAGCUUUACAAUAGUUUGGAGAAUUGUUGGAAAGAAUUUCAAAGUUUCAAAGCUAUUAAGGUGAGUAAUAAAUUAGAGUUGAAAUUUUAGUGUUGAGAAUGACUAGAGAUUUGAUUUGUGAAUACCUUGUAGUUGAGAUUGUAAAUUCACUUUGGAGUGAUAGAAUAGUGAAAAUGGAUAGCCAUUUAAUGGCAAAUGGAAGCUAGCUAAGAAAAAGCUUUUAGAAUUCAUAAGUAUGUGGCUUGACUUAAUGCUGAUGCUAAUGUGAUAAUAGGUUCCAACAAAGCCGCAUCACCCCAUUUGGACAAUUAGAGAAGUUAGAGUUGACUAAAGGAUUCAACAAAUACCG